GAUGAACGCUGGCGGCGUGCCUAACACAUGCAAGUCGAACGGAGUAUCUUAUAUAGACUUUCUUAGGAGAUGAAAUAUUAGAUACUUAGUGGCGGACGGGUGAGUAACGCGUGGGUAACCUACCUCAUACAGGGGGAUAACAACCGGAAACGGCUGCUAAAACCGCAUAACAAAGACUAAUCGCAUGAUUAAUCUUUCAAAUAUUUCAUAGGUAUGAGAUGGGCCCGCGUCUGAUUAGCUAGUUGGUGAGAUAAAAGCCCACCAAGGCGACGAUCAGUAGCCGGCUUGAGAGAGUGACCGGCCACAUUGGGACUGAGACACGGCCCAAACUCCUACGGGAGGCAGCAGUGGGGAAUAUUGCACAAUGGGGAAACCCUGAUGCAGCGACGCCGCGUGAGUGAAGAAGUAUUCGGUAUGUAAAGCUCUAUCAGCAGGGAAGAAAAUGACGGUACCUGACUAAGAAGCCCCGGCUAACUACGUGCCAGCAGCCGCGU
rnacentral:rRNA from 1 species